UACGUAGGGUCCGAGCGUUGUCCGGAAUUACUGGGCGUAAAGAGCUCGUAGGUGGUUUGUCGCGUUGUUCGUGAAAACUCACAGCUUAACUGUGGGCGUGCGGGCGAUACGGGCAGACUAGAGUACUGCAGGGGAGACUGGAAUUCCUGGUGUAGCGGUGGAAUGCGCAGAUAUCAGGAGGAACACCGGUGGCGAAGGCGGGUCUCUGGGCAGUAACUGACGCUGGAGGAGCGAAAGCGUGGGGAGCGAACAGG
rnacentral:rRNA from 1 species